GGCAAAAUAACUGUGGUUAUUACUCUCCUGUGAAGAAACCAUUCUAUAUUUGCCUAUCACAGGAACAAGAGUUUCAUCCACAGUUGCUGAAUUUUUCAAAGUGAAGGAAAAAGGACAUUAGAAUCAUUAUUGCAACAGUAAAGAAGAAAUGAGUGAUCAAUUUUAAACUCAUGAACUGGGAAAAAUUUCGGUGGCUAGAAUAAGUCACGCUGAGGUUAUUUGGUGAGAGUGGAUUAGGAGAGUGCUAAUACUUGUGUUUAUUGAACUUUUCUAAUGAAAACCCUGCUCUGUGGAUCCCAUCACUCCAGCACAUGUCUUACAGAGCAUCUCCUGAAGCUGCUGCUCAUCUGCACCCAGUGGAACACUCAGCAUGUGAGGGGCUCUGGCUCACCUUGGCCUGCCUGCAGCCUGCACAAGGGCAUGGCUCAGAGCAAACAUGUUCUGUAUACUGCAUUAUCCCACCACCAUGUAUAAAGUGCAACUUAAAAAACCUUACCAAUUGUCACUAAUUGUUAAUGAUUUCUCUAGAGGGACUCAGAGAGUGGUGGACUCAUAUCAACACUGGGCUGAUGUGGGGCAAUGUGG
rnacentral:lncRNA from 1 species